GAUAUUUUUAUAAAAAUUUAGUUAAAAAAUAACAUUAGCUCGUCAAGCUUAAAUUAUUAAUUACUAUUAAUAAUUUUU
rnacentral:tRNA from 1 species